rnacentral:lncRNA from 1 species
CUGCCUCUCCUUUUGUUCCUAAAUUGACAGCUAAUGUCUUCAGAGGGGGCAUCCCUCACCCUGACAGUGUAAAUUAACAGUUUAUCUUCACUUCAAGGGUACAGAAGUGUAGGAAAAUGACACGGUGAAAUAGAUGGGUACUCACUGGCAGCAGUUUCAUCAAUUCUAGCUUCAAAUUGUCACCUAAUGCCAUUGUUUUAUUCUGUAACCUAUAGAUUUACUUUGUAAUGAUUGAUUCUGUAAAAUUGAAUUAUAAGGUUUAUUUUUGUUAAAGUUUUUUUUUUGUUUUUUUUUACUACUUUUAGUUUUUUUUGGGUUUUUUUUGGUUUUUUUUUUUUUUUUUUUUUUUUUUUUGUGACAGAGCCUUGUUCUGUCGCCCAGGCUCUGGAGUGCAUUGGUGCGGUCUCAACUCAUAGCAACCUCCACCUCCUGGGUUCAAGUGAUUCUUCUGCCUCAGCCUUCUGAGUAGCUGGUAUUACAGGCACCUGCCACCACGCCCAGCUAAUUUUUGUACUUUUAGUAGAGACAGGGUUUCACCAUGUUGCCAGGCUAGUCUCAAACUUGUGACCUUGGCCUCCCUAAAUGCUGGGAUUACAGGUGUGAGCCACUGCGCCUGGCCUUAAUUUUCAUUUUCAAUGAAAGUUUUGUUAAGUUUAAUUUUAAAAAAACUUGAUGAUUCAAGGUUUCAUUACACAAACUCAGGUAAAGUUACUGGAUGAAUGAAUUCUUUUGUAUACCUAAUCCUGUAAACAAACCAGUAAAGGAAUAGAGUAGCCUCUAUAUUUAAAAUUCUGUCCCCAAUAUAUGAAACUGACAUAGUGCCAAUGCAAAUUAGCUCCCUUGCUGAACAUUUUCAUUCACACUGUACACACCACAGUGAGCCAGGACAUUUCUUUCUCAGUAAGAUGUUCAGAACUCUGGCCAACAACUGGCUUGAUGUUUGCAUUUUCCAUGUGACGUAGUGUUUUCCUUGGUUGACUAUUAUGGCCCCACCCUGAUGAGCCGCGUGAGCCACUGCGCCUGGCUUUUUUUUUUUUUUUUUUUUUAAUUAAAGAUAUUGGCUAUGCUUGUAAGAAGAUGAGACACUCUUCUAUUUAUGAUC